AGUUUUGAAGUGGUGGAUCCUCUAAGUAUUACUGUCUCAGCCCUGACUGUUAUUACUACUGCUGUGCGGGCAGUGAAGUUGCUCUCUGAAAUCAUUUCAAGGAUCACAAUAAACUUUGCAUAACUGGGCUUCAAGAUGAACUUGAGAAUCCGACCAAUAUGCUGAACACAUUGGCAUAAGUGACCAAAGCUGAGCUGCCAAUGUUGGCACUUCUUUAAGGCCUUGGUGAUCAAUGCAGCCAAGUAUGUCGCGAGCUUGAACAAUCAAUGACGGGUUUUCGAGGGAUUGGACAAAGAUCGCAGUUAAGAGAGAUGUGAUACAACGAGCUUAUAGUCACUAUUGCAGGCUAUAAGCCAAUCCCGGUCGGAAUAGGCGCCCAGUAAAACUAAUCACCUGGGGGAAAAAAAAUAAAAACAAAAAGAGAGAG
rnacentral:sRNA from 2 species